rnacentral:rRNA from 1 species
CCUACGGGUGGCACCAGUGGGGAAUAUUGGACAAUGGGCGAAAGCCUGAUCCAGCAAUGCCGCGUGUGUGAAGAAGGUCUUCGGAUUGUAAAGCACUUUCGACGGGGACGAUGAUGGCGGUACCCGUAGAAGAAGCCCCGGCUAACUUCGUGCCAGCAGCCGCGGUAAUACGAAGGGGGCUAGCGUUGCUCGGAAUGACUGGGCGUAAAGGGCGCGUAGGCGGUUUAUGCAGUCAGAUGUGAAAUCCCCGGGCUUAACCUGGGAACUGCAUUUGAGACGCAUAGACUAGAGGUCGAGAGAGGGUUGUGGAAUUCCCAGUGUAGAGGUGAAAUUCGUAGAUAUUGGGAAGAACACCGGUGGCGAAGGCGGCAACCUGGCUCAAUACUGACGCUGAGGCGCGAAAGCGUGGGGAGCAAACAGGAUUAGAUACCCGCGUAGUC